AUGCUGUCCCAGGUGGUACUUUCCGCCGCCACCACAGUGGCCCCGUCUCUGAAGAAUGCAGCCUUCCUAGGUCCAGGAGUAUUGCAGGCAACAAGGACCUUCCAUACAGGGUAGCCACACCUUGCCCCUGUACCACCUCUUCCUGAAUAUGGAGGAAAAGUUUGUUAUGGACUGAUCCCUGAGGAAUUCUUCUAGUUUCUUUAUCCUAAAACUGGUGUAACAGGACCCUAUGUGCUCGGAACUGGGCUUAUCUUGUAUGCUUUAUCCAAAGAAAUAUAUGUGAUUACCACAGAGACCUUCACUGCCAUGUCAUUAAUAGGGAUAAUGGUCUAUGGAAUUAAAAAAUAUGGUCCCUCUGUUGCAGCAUUUGCUGAUAAAAUCAAUGAGCAAAAACUUGCCCAACUAGAAGAGGCGAAGCAGGCUUCCAUCCAGCAAAUCCAGAAUGCAAUUGAUAUGGAGAAGUCGCAGCAGGCACUGACUCAGAAGCGCCUUUACCUUUUUGAUGUGCAAAGGAAUAACAUUGCUAUGGCUUUGGAGGUUACUUACCGGGAACGACUAUAUAGAGUAUAUAAGGAAGAAUCGCCUGGACUACCACAUAGCUGUGCAGAACAUGACGCGUCGAAAGGAACAAGAACACAUGAUAAAUUGGGUGGAAAAGCACGUGGUUCGAAGCAUCUCCGCAGAGCAGGAAAAGGAGACAGUUGCCAAGUGCGUUGCGGACCUAAAGCUGCUGGCAAAGAAGGCUCAAGCACCCCCGGUUACGUAAAUGAAUCUAUCCCAAUUGAGACAGCUAGAAACAGUUGACACACUAAAUGGAAACUAGUCUAUUUGACGAAAUCUUUCUGUAUUGAUGUCUACUGAAGUUAUAGUUUACCCUUCCUAAAAAUGAAAAGUUUGUUUCAUAUAGUAAGAGAACAAAAUCUCUAUCGGCCAGUCAAAUGUUUCUCAUCCUUCCUACUCUGCCUUUGAGUUGUUCCAUGAUCACUUCUGAAUAAGCAGUUUGUCUUUAUAAAAACUUGCGGUCUGACUAAAGAUUACCAGAUUAUAGUUUAAAUUUGCAAUUAAUUCUACCAUCUUGCAAUAAAGUGACAAUUGAAUGAAAAAAAAAAAAAAA